GUGUUAGUAAAGUUCGAUACGUGCACGGCCGGAGGAGGAUUUGCAGAGGGCGUUAGUCGAGCUUGCUUGCUGCGAACAGUGUGAAGGAACCGUUUUCUGAGCCGUGGUGCUGAGAGUGCUGGGAACGUGUUGUCGCAAGUUGGCGGUAAAGUGUGGUACUGGUGCCUGAAAGCGUGAUGGUGAAAUGUCACCAUGUUGGAUCACCUUCCUGGCUUUUUGGAAACUUCUCCUGGCUCAGUGAGAAGCACUGCAGGAAGGGCUUUUCAGGUUUCAAGAUACUAAUGGCAGAUUCAUCCAGUGAUUCAGACAACUUUCUUAGGGGUCGAAUGGGAAGGCGGCCACCUUUGAGAGCAUCCCACAACAGAGCUUGGAACUAUGGUGCUGAAGAAGUCACAGAGAAGAUCCAUACUUUAGCAAGCACUUUACAGGAUACCAACAGAAAUCUAAGACAUGUUGACCAUUUGCUCGGACAAUACAGAGAAUACAACAAGGAACAAACCGAAGCAAUAGCAACUUUAAAAGAAACACUGGAACAAUCUAUAGGUCAGUUAAGGAGCCAACGAUUAACCCGAAACUCUGGAAUGAGAAGUGCUUCUCUCUCAAGCUUAUACCCUAGUGAUCUGGAUGGAGGAGGAGUGUCAGGGAACCGCCACUUCCUGCCUACUUCUCCUCUCAGGGAUUAUGGAGACUCACAGGGCAAUAAACAUCGAAGGUCUAGAUCUGCAAGUGUUCGAUUUGUCAAUGAGGCAGAUAAUUUGGAUCAGCUGCAUUCUUUCCACCAGUCUCUUCGAGAUCUCAGUAGUGAACAAGUUCGCCUAGGAGACGACAUCAGUCGGGAGCUUUCAAGAAGAAAUCGGACUGAUGCUGAAUUAAGAAAGACUCUAGAAGAGUUGUCUGAAAAGCUCACUGAGUCCCAAAGACAAGAAACGGUAUCAGAACGGGUAGAGAGAAGACUUCAGGAGAUAGAACAAGAAAUGCGUGCUGAAAGACAGCUUGUAGAAAGACGCCAGGACCAGCUGGGACAUAUGUCUUUUCAAUUACAAGAGGCUUUAAGGAAGCAAGAUGCUAAAGCAGAUGAAACAGAAAAACUCAUGGAAAAUAAACUUGUGAGAUAUGAAAGUGAAAAGAACCAACUUGAGCAGGAAUUGGAGCAGUCCCGGAAAAAGCUGAAUGAAUCGGAAGGCAGUAGAGAAGCUCUUUUGCAUCAGAUUGAGGAUCUUCGUUCCCAACUUUUGAGAGCAGAAGAAGACCGUGUAGAGUUGCAACAUCAAAUUUCACAUGUUGCUAUGCACCACCAGAGCUACCAGGAUGUACAAGAUGACGAUAGGAGAAUUAGAACAGUAGCUGAAAGAUAUGAGAGAGAGAAGCAAGAACUGGAGAAACAUAUUUUGGAGCUUAAAGCAAAGCUGAGUCAUAAUGCUGUAAUGUCAGAGGUAGAAGAUCUAAAGAGAUGCAUAGAGCGUAAGGACAAGGAGAAAGCACAGCUUGUAAUGCACAUACAGGUGUUAACAUCUGACCUGGAAAACAGGGAGAAGCAGCAGGAAAAAAUGCUGGACCAGCUAAAGGAGAUACAGAAUUGCUACAAGGCUUGUGAGAAUGAACGUAGACAAACUGAACUCCAGUCUGCUGAGUUAGCUCAACAGGUUGAAGAGAGUACCAAGGAAGCAGAACGGUACCUCACUGAAUUCAAGCAUUCAGAGGCACUCAGGCUGGAGAUUGAGAAAAAAAGAGAAGAUUUGAAGGUGAGAGCACAGGAGACCAUCCGCCAAUGGAAGCUGAAAUGUAAGAAACUGGAUCGUGAGGUGGAAAAACAAAAUGAAACUAUAAACCAACUGAUGGACAAGAACAGUCAGGCCCUCAAAGAAAAGGAUGACCUCAGAAGUCAACUUCUCUCUGCUAUACACCAAAUAGAAAACCUUCGGAAAGAGCUGAAUGAUGUGCUUACAAAGAGAGCCCAGCAGGAAGAACUCCUCCACUGCAAAGAGGUAAAACUGAAUGAAAUGAAGUCUCACCAGCUAUCGCUUGAAGAAGAGAUCAAAGAAUUUCAAGGUACUGUAAAUAAAUUGGAGAAUGAGUUGAAAAAGCAAGUCUUUCUACAAAAUCAAGCGCAAGCUGAAAAGGAAAACUUGGAGACAGAACUUGCAACUAGUAGCUUGAUCCAUAAAAAAGACCAGGAAAGACUCUUAGAAAUGCAAGCAGAUGUAAAAAACUUAAGCUCUGUACGUGUGGAACUAACAAACAGAAUAGCAGAAGAGGAGAAAAUCAAAAAGGAAUUACAUAAGAGCCUCUUGGCUCUCCAGAAACAGCAGGAAUCUAAACAUGAAGAGAUGACUUCAGCUAACAGGCAGCUGAAGAUGGAAAGAGAAGUUCACCAACAGGAGUUGGCAGAUCUUAGAUCAGAGUUACAAAAUGUUAAAAUCAAACAUGAACGAAAUGUCCAAGAGCUCAUGAAACUCCUUAAACAAGAAAAGGAUGAUGCAGAGGCUCAGAUUAGAAUGCUAAAGAUGGAACUUUUAGAAGAGAAAAACAUAGUCAAGACUCAAUGUCGACAACUGGAGAAGAUAAAAAUUGAGUGUGAUAAAUUGACAGAAGAAUUAACCCAAAAUGAAGAAGAAAAUAUAAAACUCAGGCGGAAAUGUGAGUUUGUAAAACAAGAACUGGAGAAAAAGGAUAAACAGAUCAGCAAUGAAGAAGAUCAUUUGAGAAGGAUGGAUGAGGCCAGACUGCAGUUUAAGGAUCAACUGCAUCAUUUAGAAAUGGAACAGGAAUCCAUUCUUAACAUGAUAGGAAGUGAAAUUGAUGCUGCUUGUGAAAUUUUUUCUCGGGACUCCAUGGAGAAAUUCAAAGUGUGUAGAGAAGUCACUUUGUUUCAGCCUUGUAGUAUGGCUGUGCCUUUUUCUCCACUCACCUAUGGAGCUGGGAUGUUGCAGCACACAAAAAUAUGAGAAUUCUAAGAAAAUGUUGUUGACAAACAAGCUUUCUCCUCUGUACCCUUACAGAUAAGUCUUUUUUUAUUAAGUCUUUGUGAUCUGCUACAGUUGCCAGAUUCUUGAUCGUCGAACCAUGCUUUCUUGGACUUGUUUCCCACCUCCUGCAGAGUUUUUGUCUUCUGGAUAAAGUUUUGCUAAUCCCUGUUUUCACAUUUCUCCUUAUUUAUCCCGUUUAACUGUUUAUCACUAACAAACUUAAAACAGAGUUGAAUCUGAAUUUUUGACUAGACAGCUAAUGUGAAGACAAACGCUACACAGUUUUGUGGUGCCUGGUCCAAAGUAUUUUUUUUUUUAAAAAGAUAAGAAGUUUCCUUUCUUAUAUUGUUCCUCUGCCCAGUACUUAAGGUAUUGCCAAGGUUUCUAAAAGGUUUCAGACAAGUUCUUUACUUGAUGAAGUUGCCACUGCAACUGAGGUGAGCAAUGAAGAAUUUAAUGGAUAAAUACUUGUAUUCAGAGAGCUUAACACCAGGCUUAACCUUCCCUGAUGAAAAAUGUGCUGCAUUUUUUUUAUAAUACCACAUACUGGUGUUCUAAGCAAAGAAUUCCACAUGUAUUGUUCAGGUUUAUUUUUCCAAUCAGUCUUUUCUUAUAAGAAAUCUUAUGCUUGCAAUAACUAUACCAGUCAUGUUUAAACUAUCAACUGAAUACUGCCUUCUUUGAAUGUGGUUGCACAGAAUGAGGCUUGCUGCCAUAGAAGUCACAACUUUCAGCUAUGCGUUGCUUUGUGAAGUCAUGGUCAAUGUGCCUACUAAAGCAUUUCCUUUCACCUGUGUCAUUAUGUGGUGAUAAUUUUCAUGUAAAAUGUGUAUACAUAAUUAGAUGGUGCUGUUUAGGCACCUUUGGUCUCAGUGUAGUUAAUAAGGCCCAUAUAAAUACCUCUUAAAGAAAUAUGCUAGUGACAAAAAUUAUUGGACCAGGACUAAAAGUACAUAAAGACUCGCUAAAUUGCAAAAUGUGGUAAAUUAAAACCACACUAACCACACUAACUAACAAAACCCCUGCAAAACCUUUAAAUUGGAGAAAGGCACAAUGUAGUAAUCAUGGGAUAGGACCACAUGAGAUAAAGGAUGAGCUGGACGUAUGGUUAAUAGUUUACUUGAUUUUAAAUAGGUUUCAGUUGACAGAGCUGUUUUAUGAGAUUUUUCUUCUUCCCUUUGUGUAUCAACUCAUAAAGUAGGAAAAAAAAAAUCCAUUAUCACUAACAUUUAAUUAGUAAUAUAGAAAACAUGUAUAGAAGUACCUUUAAAACUAGUUUAACAUAGUUCAGUUUGAAUGCAGAAAAAAAGACAUACCACAUUUUCUCAUUGUAUGAAGUAUUAAUGAAGCACAAGUUUAUCUUCUUUUUACCCACGUAGUGAAAAUUACAAUAUUCUUUUUCUGCCUAUCAAAUAUUCAAAGCAAGUGAUUUGUCUUUUUUCAUGAAAACACUAAGAGCAUCAUCAUGGAGUAUAAUUUAAAGAUUUAGGGGGGGUUGUCCUUUUUUGCUUUUUAAUAAGACAUUUGUCAUGUUGCACAUAGCAUUUCUGUAUAUACACUGAUAACAGUUCAAUGACUAACAACAAGUGGUUCCGCUGCUUCUGGUUUAUGUGCAGCCACUGUUCUGCAGAAUGCAGGAAAAAGCAGUUGAAUGACUUUGAUUUUAAGAAAUAGUCAUUUUAAAGUAGAGUCUGAUUGUAUUAUUUGGAAAUAUUAUGAUAUUUUCAAAAAAGGACAUACAGAUUCAAACUGAGAAUAUGCACCUUGAUGCAGAGGUAUGUUCUGGGAACAUGUGAAAUGCAUCAUUGUAGUGAUUCUUAGGAGAAAACUACACAGAUUCAGAAUACAGCUUACUAUUGUUGGAACUUACUUAAGUCACACAGUUAAACAAAAUUUGUAUCAGUGAGUUUGCAUAAUUUGCUUUUAAAUGUGACUAAUUUAUGGUUAAGUAGUUCUAUUAAACCAUUGACAGAUAUGAUUUCCAAGCUGGAUUUUUUGCAAAGAAUAUUUAUUUGAUGAAUUUCCAGUAAGUGGGAGAGACUCUUUCUCCUUUCUGUGUCUAAUUCCCAUUUUUAUACCUAUUUGUUUCUCUCCUACUAUUCCAUAGGCAAUAUCACUUACACCAACAGUGCUGAAUGAUCCUCAUCGCUGGUUAGCAGAAACAAAGACUAAGCUUCAGUGGCUGUGUGAGGAG